rnacentral:rRNA from 1 species
UACGGAGGGGGCGAGCGUUGUCCGAAGUUACUGGGCGUAAAGCGCGCGUAGGCGGGUUGGCAAGUCCGCUGUGAAAGCCUGAGGCUUAACCUCAGCGGGUCGGUGGAUACUGCCAGUCUUGAAGGCGUUAGGGGGAGAUGGAAUUACCGGUGUAGCGGUGAAAUGCGUAGAUAUCGGUAGGAACACCAGUGGCGAAGGCGGUCUCCUGGGACGUUCUUGACGCUGAGGCGCGAAAGCUGGGGGAGCGAACGGG